AUGAAGUUGGAAUUGCUAGUAAUCGCGAAUCAGAAUGUCGCGGUGAAUACGUUCCCGGGCCUUGUACACACCGCCCGUCACACCAUGAGAGUCGAUAACACCCGAAGCCUGUGAGCUAACCGCAAGGAGGCAGCAGUCGAAGGUGGGGUUGAUGAUUGGGGUGAAGUCGUAACAAGGUACC
rnacentral:rRNA from 1 species